AAGGAAGUGGCUUAAUGACCCUGA
rnacentral:piRNA from 1 species